rnacentral:rRNA from 1 species
CUACGGGGGGCAGCAGUGGGGAAUAUUGGACAAUGGGGGCAACCCUGAUCCAGCCAUGCCGCGUGUGUGAAGAAGGCCUUUUGGUUGUAAAGCACUUUAAGCAGGGAGGAGAGGCUAAUGGUUAAUACCCAUUAGAUUAGACGUUACCUGCAGAAUAAGCACCGGCUAACUCUGUGCCAGCAGCCGCGGUAAUACAGAGGGUGCGAGCGUUAAUCGGAAUUACUGGGCGUAAAGCGGGUGUAGGUGGCUCAUUAAGUCACAUGUGAAAUCCCCGGGCUUAACCUGGGAACUGCAUGUGAUACUGGUGGUGCUAGAAUAUGUGAGAGGGAAGUAGAAUUCCAGGUGUAGCGGUGAAAUGCGUAGAGAUCUGGAGGAAUACCGAUGGCGAAGGCAGCUUCCUGGCAUAAUAUUGACACUGAGAUUCGAAAGCGUGGGUAGCAAACAGGAUUAGAUACCCGUGUAGUC